GUCGGCAUUACCGGAGGUGAAGCCAUCUGUGUUGAUAUUGAGGAUGAGCAGUUCCAAUGUGCCGACUGGAAUAGCUUCGGCUUCUGCAGCCCAGAUUCCGGUGUCGGCUACGAGGUGUCCGUCAAAAAGUGUCGGAAAACAUGUGGCCUCUGUGUCUAAAGGGGAAGUCAGUUACUGGUGAGACAAGCAACGCAAUGAUUCACACAAUGCUGUUAAAACGUUCACCAAAUAAAUUGUGAAAACACA